GUGGUUUAAUUCGAAGCAACGCGCAGAACCUUACCAGUCCUUGACAUGGGGAGUUUGGUUUCCGGAGACGGAUUCCUUCAGUUCGGCUGGCUCCCACACAGGUGCUGCAUGGCUGUCGUCAGCUCGUGUCGUGAGAUGUUCGGUUAAGUCCGGCAACGAGCGCAACCCACAUCCUUAGUUGCCAGCAGUUCGGCUGGGCACUCUAGGGAAACUGCCCGUGAUAAGCGGGAGGAAGGUGUGGAUGACGUCAAGUCCUCAUGGCCCUUACGGGUUGGGCUACACACGUGCUACAAUGGCAUCUACAGUGGGCAGCUAUCACGCGAGUGUGAGCUAAUCUCCAAAAGAUGUCUCAGUUCGGAUUGUUCUCUGCAACUCGAGAGCAUGAAGGCGGAAUCGCUAGUAAUCGCGGAUCAGCAUGCCGCGGUGAAUACGUUCCCAGGCCUUGUACACACCGCCCGUCACACCAUGGGAGUUGGGUCUACCUGACGACGGUGCGCUAACCCUUCGGGGAGGCAGCCGGCCACGGUAGGCUCAGCGACUGGGGUGAAGUCGUAACAAGGUAACCGUAGGGGAACCUGCGGUUGGAUCACCUCCUU
rnacentral:rRNA from 1 species